GAGCGGGGGCACAAUCUGUGCAGCCAAUUCACGCCACCUCUGGGCGUACUCCUUGAAUGUUUCUUUCUCCUUCUGGGACAUGGCCCUCAGUUGGUCCCUAUCGGGAGCCAUAUAUCUGUGCAGCCAAUUCACGCCACCUCUGGGCGUACUCCUUGAAUGUUUCUUUCUCCUUCUGGGACAUGGCCCUCAGUUGGUCCCUAUCGGGAGCCAUAUCAACGUUGUACUUGUACUGCUUGACGAAAGCUUCGCCAAGGUCGUUGAAGGAGCGGAUGUUCGCACUAUCCAG
rnacentral:lncRNA from 1 species